UAAGAAAAUUAAAUUGAGCGCUCUAAGAAAAUUAAAGAACUGGUUACUUGAAUGAAACAUGAGCAAGAAAUGUAAAUUGAGUUUUGAAAAAUAAAGGUUGAUUGCUGAACUUGGAAAUAUGGGCAAAUAAUUGUAAAUUGACAUUGACAAUUAAAAGUAGAUUUGUGGGAGUUGAAAUAUGAAUGGGAAAUUUGAAAAUUGCAUUGAAAGCUAAAGAAACUAGUUACAGGAA
rnacentral:misc_RNA from 1 species